rnacentral:tRNA from 1 species
GCCUGGGUGGCUCAGUCGGUUAAGCGUCUGACUUUGGCUCAGGUCAUGAUCUCGCGGUCCGUGAGUUCGAGCCCCGCAUCAGGCU